UACGUAGGGGGCAAGCGUUGUCCGGAAUUACUGGGCGUAAAGGGAGCGCAGGCGGUCUGUUAAGUGAGAUGUGAAAUACCCGGGCUUAACCUGGGGGGUGCAUCCCAAACUGGCAGACUUGAGUGUGGGAGAGGAAAGUGGAAUUCCUAGUGUAGCGGUGAAAUGCGUAGAUAUUAGGAGGAACACCAGUGGCGAAGGCGGCUUUCUGGACCACAACUGACGCUGAGGCUCGAAAGCGUGGGGAGCAAACAGG
rnacentral:rRNA from 1 species